CGCGUACGGUCGGGUAGCCGGUUAAAGUACACCCUGUGAAACCCGUCCGGGCGUCAAACGUCGGAGCCUGCAGGCGAAACUGCCGUGCUGGAGUGUGGGAGGGGUGCGUGGAAUUCCCGGUGUAGCAGUGAAAUGCGUAGAGAUCGGGAGGAACACCUGUGGCGAAAGCGGCGCACUGGACCACAACUGACGCUGAGGCGCGAAAGCUAGGGGAGCAAACAGGAUUAGAUACCCUGGUAGUCCUAGCCCUAAACGAUGGAUGCUUGGUGUAGCCGGUACCCAAUCCGGCUGUGCCGCAGCUAACGCGAUAAGCAUCCCGCCUGGGGAGUACGGUCGCAAGGCUGAA
rnacentral:rRNA from 1 species